UACGAAGGGGGCUAGCGUUGCUCGGAAUCACUGGGCGUAAAGCGCACGUAGGCGGCUUUUUAAGUCAGGGGUGAAAUCCUGGAGCUCAACUCCAGAACUGCCUUUGAUACUGGGGAUCUCGAGUCCGGGAGAGGUGAGUGGAACUGCGAGUGUAGAGGUGAAAUUCGUAGAUAUUCGCAAGAACACCAGUGGCGAAGGCGGCUCACUGGCCCGGUACUGACGCUGAGGUGCGAAAGCGUGGGGAGCAAACAGG
rnacentral:rRNA from 1 species